rnacentral:rRNA from 1 species
GCCAUGCCGCGUGCAGGAUGACGGUCCUAUGGAUUGUAAACUGCUUUUGUACGAGAAGAAACAACAUUACGUGUAAUGUCUUGACGGUAUCGUAAGAAUAAGGAUCGGCUAACUCCGUGCCAGCAGCCGCGGUAAUACGGAGGAUCCAAGCGUUAUCCGGAAUCAUUGGGUUUAAAGGGUCCGUAGGCGGUUUAGUAAGUCAGUGGUGAAAGCCCAUCGCUCAACGGUGGAACGGCCAUUGAUACUGCUGAACUUGAAUUAUUAGGAAGUAACUAGAAUAUGUAGUGUAGCGGUGAAAUGCUUAGAGAUUACAUGGAAUACCAAUUGCGAAGGCAGGUUACUACUAAUGGAUUGACGCUGAUGGACGAAAGCGUGGGUAGCGAACAGGAUUAGAUACCCUGGUAGUCCACGCCGUAAACGAUGGAUACUAGCUGUUGGGGGCAACUUCAGUGGCUAAGCGAAAGUGAUAAGUAUCCCACCUGGGGAGUACGUUCGCAAGAAUGAAACUCAAAGGAAUUGACGGGGGCCCGCACAAGCGGUGGAGCAUGUGGUUUAAUUCGAUGAUACGCGAGGAACCUUACCAAGGCUUAAAUGUAGAUUGACCGAUUUGGAAACAGAUCUUUCGCA